rnacentral:rRNA from 1 species
CUGGAGGUAUCAGAAGUGCGAAUGCUGACAUAAGUAACGAUAAAGCGGGUGAAAAGCCCGCUCGCCGGAAGACCAAGGGUUCCUGUCCAACGUUAAUCGGGGCAGGGUGAGUCGACCCCUAAGGCGAGGCCGAAAGGCGUAGUCGAUGGGAAACAGGUUAAUAUUCCUGUACUUGGUGUUACUGCGAAGGGGGGACGGAGAAGGCUAUGUUGGCCGGGCGACGGUUGUCCCGGUUUAAGCGUGUAGGCUGGUUUUCCAGGCAAAUCCGGAAAAUCAAGGCUGAGGCGUGAUGACGAGGCACUACGGUGCUGAAGCAACAAAUGCCCUGCUUCCAGGAAAAGCCUCUAAGCAUCAGGUAACAUCAAAUCGUACCCCAAACCGACACAGGUGGUCAGGUAGAGAAUACCAAGGCGCUUGAGAGAACUCGGGUGAAGGAACUAGGCAAAAUGGUGCCGUAACUUCGGGAGAAGGCACGCUGAUAUGUAGGUGAAGUCCCUCGCGGAUGGAGCUGAAAUCAGUCGAAGAUACCAGCUGGCUGCAACUGUUUAUUAAAAACACAGCACUGUGCAAACACGAAAGUGGACGUAUACGGUGUGACGCCUGCCCGGUGCCGGAAGGUUAAUUGAUGGGGUCAGCGCAAGCGAAGCUCUUGAUCGAAG